rnacentral:lncRNA from 1 species
GACGGCGACGCGUUCGUGGGUGCCGACAUGGCCGCCCGCAUCCUCACCGGGGGGCCCAAGCCGCUGCCGGAGGACAACGUCGCCAAGACAGGCUUCAACCUUUAAGCUCUAGCCAUGCGUUGACUUGCAUUUUUGUUGCUUUGCUUUGUAAUUUUUUUUUACUGCCAGCUACAUGAUGCAUGGAAUGAUCCGUGGAUCCUCAGCGGUUCAGGCCUUCGCUUUCAAGGAAUAAUAAUGAGACGUCAGCUGCGGGGCCGGGGCGCUGUCCCCCUGGCCCGGGCAUUCAGACAACUGGCUCUCACUUGGGCCUUUUUCUUGUCUUUUUUUGAUGUCACUGAAAGGCGUUGCGAUUAUGUUCGGUGGAUAGGUUGCGCAAGGCUGAUGGUUGCUGCAUUUUAGGUUCGCAUGAACGAGCAGCGCUUGGCUUGGGUUGUUUUUUUGUUUUGUUCAUGUUGGGCUUGGGCGCUUUACCUUCCAUGGGCGCUGUUGAGCAGUUAGGGCCGGUUCUGCAGCGCGCAGUGAGCUGAACAAGUUGAAAAACGGGGGCCUGGACACCCGCCACAAGCUACUUGAUGGAUUUGUUGCGUGCUUUGUCCGCGAGGUAGAAUUCGCGAGGGACCAACAAAGCUCUGCUCGUAAUGGUCUGGUUGGCGCAGCUGAAGCUCGUGCUCUGGGUGCUCUUUUUUUGAGUUUUGUUUUGCAUAUCAUCGCAUCUUAGGCACGUGCGUCUCAAACGAGUCCAUUCAUAUCCGUACAGAGCACAAUUUGCUCGGCUGGUGAAAAUGUUGCCUUGUCGCGAUCUUCAUGUCGUUUGAUGGGUUUUUAACCAAGUGGUGAUGCGCCUCAACUUCGUGGUGGAUCCUUAAGUAGGCUAUAUAUGUGGUGUUACGUCUUAAGUUUUGAGCUUUUGUUGCAGAGCCGUCGUGCUUCAUGGGGUAGCUAGAAGUGUUACUGCGAUCGGUUGUUCAGGUGCAGAUGCUGCUGACAAGCAACAGACCGAAAACGCGUACGUGGAAAAUAAACAGGUGCCCUCUGUGCAUCCGGUGCCCAUUCGCUCAAAGUGGAGGUCGGUAGGCCGUUCACGUGAUUGAUGCCUUGAUGAUGUGCACUUCAUCUGGGUCACACUUGGCAGCACAGGUUUUUACGCACGUCAGGCCUGGGCGUGUGGGCGAGUGUUUGCUGGAUGAACUGAACACGUUAAUGGAUGCUAAUGAACAUACAAGACAUCAUGUAUGGAAUACAGAUACGUGCUCCUCAUUGGUACCUUCUGGUACAAGGUUUGAUUUCGUCGGAAUUGAACGCAGGAUAUACAUGAUACGGAACCCCGGUCUUGAUAAGGACACGUGCAAAACACAUGUGUAUGACAUGGAUAUUCCCGGCGGUUCAGAUACAAGACGCACGACUGUAUAUUAUUGUUCUCCUAGCCCGACAAGCAACACAUUUGAGGAGGUUCGAUGCAUUAUGACAUCUAAACAUAACUUUCCGGGAACGAGAAAUUUGUCACACAUCUGCAGGGCAGAAACCCGUUGUCAAGCUCCUCUCGAGUUCCCUCAGGGCUCGCUUGAGCUUGUUGCUCCCGGACAGUUGGACAACGCAACAUGUGUGGUAUUUCAGCAAUGUGAAGUGAGGUGCCAUGAAGGGAUCACCCGGGUGGCCGGUAACGUUCAUACGUAAGAACAUUUCAUGUCCUGUUCCGGUGAAGGAUAGUACACAGCAGUCUUGCCUCCAAGCUAAACUGUUACAAGGAAAGAAGAAAUUACGCUGCCAAGCUGCUGAAGUCAGCGAGGAUUUUACGAAGUUAAGCGCGCGCGGCUGUGUAUCCUGCGAUUCCACUAGCCAAAAAUAUGUUGAAUUCAAUAUGCUGAUAUGUGCUAAUUUAAUGUGCUACUGCAUCGCAUGCGCCGCUGUCCGCGGUCGACUGUCUGCAUGUUAUAGCAUCUUGCAUUCCACAUCCAAUUAGGCGCCAGAUUAAGAUACCGACAGCUUUAGUCAGAAUGACAAAGCAAAGCACGCUGGUCAUCUGGGCAGCUGCAGUGUGCAUGGAGUAUUUAUUUGUUUGGCCGCGCCCAUUUGCUCGCGUUUUAAGGAGAGCUCGCACUUGUCUCGCAUUAUCCAUUCGCAACAUACGUGAAUAGGGAUACAUGCGAAAGCAAAGUGAGCUCGCAUGCUCCUGUCCUCGGCUCCUUGUUCCUCGCGCAAGGAAACCGGUUGGUUUAAAUCCGUUGACCGUUAACGGGCGACACUGGGACAACUUCCUGGGAAGGAGACCUUGCAGUAAAAGCUUUGGCGAAAAUGUAUAACACAAAGACUGAAACGUCUUGCCCGUAUUCCCAUAGAGCAGUCAUGCUAUGCACUAUCCAGAAUUGCACGGCUCGCAACUGCCUCACGCAAAGUCGUUGGAAAUCUCACUUCACAACACAACAGGCAAAAGAAAAUUGUCAACUCUCAUGGGAUUUAAGUUUUGACCGGUCAGCAAGGGCUCCUCGACGUGCAGCAAGACCAUCGGGAAACUGCAGCGCGCUAAAAUGUCAUCAAUGUCUAUGUAAAUUUAGGGAUUUUCUUUUUUAUGUCCUGGACAAAACCCUAGAUAUACGCACGAUAACGUAAACCUCAAACGAGAAGUUAAGCGUCCGGUUUUGGUUAAUGACUUAGCUACAGGCAGAUACGUGUCAGAACCCUUAAGCACAGACGCAAGACUGCAGGGCACAUCAAUUUAUGGUUUUACGUAACUACAGGACAUUCUCCAACCAACUGUACCGCCAGGUACAGCCAUUCACCAAGACAACAGAUCUAAGCUCAGAAAAUCUUCUAGGAUGAAAAGAAGAGACCAAUAAUCGAUUUGUAGGAUUCCCCAGAUGUUUUGAAUAAAGUUAUGGUGUCGGAGCUCGGCCCUCCCUCGAGCGUGUCCGCCAGGCAAAUAUUCUUUAAGAGCAAUUAUCUGUACACACUCAUCAUCGUUUCGUUCCCCAACUCACUGAUACUUUAGCAUUCAUAUAUUUUGGUUUAUUGAAUUUGGUACGCCUAUCGACGCAAGCAUGCUGCGGGUGAGUCGACUCGAGAGUAGCGUGCAUGUGGCGCUAGGCCAUUUGAUGUAUUCCAGAUUAGUCCUCUAGCAGAAAUGUUACCUCUCUAGCAGUGGUGCGUGACACAGGUCACUUGACCUCGUCCUUCCGAAUUUUAACCGCGGACGGUUAUCUAUCGGAACACAGGCGUUACGGUGUUCGCUUGAGGGGCGCCACUCCGGCGAUUUAGUUCUGAUUUCCAGCACUGCAUGUUUAAUUCUUUGCUGACAUCUACGUUCAGCAUGGCUGUCCAAGUCGCACAGAUACUGCAGUUCUGUUUCCGUCAUGUAUCGGAAUUGCAUCUCACAUAACGUAGAUUCAAAGAAAUUUUGCAGCUCAUGUUAAAAUUCUGUUUGCAGAUGGCUCAGGACAACCUGCCUGCUGGCUCCGACAUGGAGUUUCUCCUGAGCAGCAAGUUCACCAGGGAGUCGGGCCUUGCCCCGAAAAGUAUCUACCGCAAUCUGUCUCCGCCCCAGCUCUAUGAGCUGGUAAGUAGAAGGAACAACUAUAAUAUUGAUAGUUUCCAUUAUCGGUGUUAAUUGAUGCUGUUCCGUAAUUUUCAUACAGGCUCUGGCCUUCGAGCCCGGCACGCACAUCACAUCGACUGGUGCCCUGGCGACAAGGUCCGGUAAGUCCUUAGGUGCUAGCUGUUUUUCGCGCAGAUAUAUAAAACUCAGCUGUUUCUCCGCUGCAUGCACUUGACCUGCACUUAAUAGUACCUGCGCAAGACCUUGGGCUUGUCUUUCGCAUCCUCGCUUGUAUAGCUUCCCCUCACGGCUUUUGCCCCAUAUUCCCUACGCUGUGCUCACACAGGCGAGAAGAUGGGUCGCUGCCCCCAGGACAAGUAAGUUUGUGGCUUGCGGGCGAGCGCCAACUGGUACACGUGUGUGACCUUUGCUCGUCCCCUGGUCUUCUAUAUAUAGACUAUCGAUAUGUGUAGUUGGACUCCAGAAUAGUAGAUGAGAAAGUAAUGGAUUUGCCUGCGGGCUGCUGAGGUUAUCCUGCUUUUCCUCACAUGACCAUUUGCUAUCCUGAUAUGCAUGGCCUGCUGCUUACCCCCUUGCUUUCCUCCCGUUCCAUGCUCUCUACUUGCCACCUGCCCUCCUCCUUGUCCUCAGGCGUGUGACUCGCGACCCCGAGACCGAGAAGGACCUUUGGUGGGGCCCGUACUCGCCCAACUACGUCAUGGACGACAGGACGUUCCUGACCAACCGCGAGCGGGCCGUGGAUUACCUCAACACCCUGGAGAGGGUCUACGUGGUGGAUGCGUUCGUCAACUGGGACCCGGCGUCGCGUCUCAAGGUCCGGGUGGUCACCAGUCGCGCCUACCACGCCCUGUUCAUGUCCAAUAUGCUCAUCCGCCCCACGGCGGAGGAGCUGGCCAACUUUGGAGAGCCAGGUGAGGCGGAAGGAGGCCGAGGUGCGGAGCAGGAUAUGUAACACGUGCUGAGGCAUGUGUGUGGCGGUCUCAAAUCUCAAAUUACAGCUGUUCAUGAUUACACCCAAACAUGAAAGUGAUACCCCGCCUUGCCCGCCACAGAUUUCAUCAUUUACAACGCCGGCGCCUUCCCCGCUAACAAGUACACCAAUGUGCGUCGGGGAAAGGGUGGGGGCCGUGGAGGUGAAGGAGGGCUGUACGGAAUUGGGGGGGUACGGCAGCAGUGUCGUGUAUGUGGGGCCUCUGGUGUAUCGAGAAUUCAUGGCACAUGCGAAAUCCUCCAACCUGUCAGCGACACAUCUUUAAUCGUUUAAUGCUUGUUAUGUUUUCUGUGUGCAGUUCAUGACCAGUCAGACUUCGAUUGACCUGAGUCUGAAGCACAAGGAGAUGGUCAUCCUCGGCACCAUGUACGCGGGCGAGAUGAAGAAGGGAGUGUUUACGUAAGUGAGCGGUGGGACAGGAGCUGGCUCGGAGCCGCAACGAUUACCUUGUGUGGGCGAUUAUGUUGGCGGUCAUUCUUAACCACCCCGCCUCCCCCCCUCGCAGGUUGAUGCACUACCUGAUGCCCAUGCAGGGCAAGCUGUCCCUUCACUCGGGCUGCAACGUGGGCGCGGAGGACGAUGUGACGUUGUUCUUUGGACUCAGCGGAACGGGCAAAACGACGUUGUCGGCAGGUGGGCGGGCUUGAAGGAAGCAUUGCAGCAUCUGCCAGCUGUGCUUUCCUAGCAGUUUCUUUAGACACCGCAAGCGUUGUGUACGUGAUGGCGUUGGUCUGUAGCGCACCAGGACCCCCCUCCUGCCUGAGCAGCUCUCCCGUCAUCAUCUCCUCGCCCUGUCAGAUCCCAAGCGGCCCCUGAUUGGUGACGAUGAGCACGUGUGGAGCGACAACGGUGUGUUCAACAUCGAGGGCGGCUGCUACGCUAAGUGCAUCGGCCUGAAGCCGGAGACGGAGCCCGAGAUUUACAACGCCAUCAAGUUCGGUACCGUGCUUGAGAACGUGGAGAUUGACCCCGCCACCCGCGAGGUGGACUACGAGUCGCAGAAAUUCACGGAGAACACCCGGGCUUCCUACCCCAUCGAGUACAUGGCCAAUGCGCGCAUCCCCUGCGUUGGCGGCCACCCCAAGAACGUCAUCCUGCUCGCUUGUGACGCCUUCGGCGUCCUGCCCCCCGUGAGCCGCCUGACGCUUGAGCAGGCCAUGUACCACUUCAUCAGCGGAUACACAGCCAAAGUCGCCGGCACGGAAGUGGGCGUGACGGAGCCACAGGCCACCUUCAGCGCCUGCUUCGGCUCGGCAUUCCUCAUGAUGCAUCCGUACAAGUGAGUGGGGGCUGGAUGUGCCUUAUGGCUAACAAACGACUACUUGUAUUUUGCUAUCCUUUUAUCCGCACCAUGUCACUCACUCCGGUCCCCGUCUCUCUUCAGGUACGCCACUAUGCUUGCUGAGAAGAUGUCCAAGCACGGCACCACCGCCUGGCUGCUCAACACCGGCUGGACCGGCGGAAAGUGAGUCGUGCGGCUGUGGGGGCGCUGGCGGCGGUAGGGGGGCAGGUGGACUGAGCGCUCAAAUCGUUCCAACCUGACCACCUGCCCUGUUGUUGUUACGCGAUGUCUCCUUGUUGAUCAUCACAUCGCAAGAUUCCCAUGGAACCCCUCCACGUCAGGUACGGUGUCGGCAAGCGCAUGAGCCUGAGGCACACGCGCGCCAUCAUCGACGCCAUUCACAGCGGAGAACUCGACCAGGCCGAGUUCGUCACCACGCCAAUCUUCGGACUGCAGGUGCGCGGGGUUUUGAUUGUGUUAUUUUCAUGUAGUUAGCCUCUUUCCACUCGCCCCCUUGCUCCCAUGACGCACUUCCUAAGUGCUCAUCACGCAUAUAUAUCCGCCUCCCUGCUGUUCCACGUCGUAGGUGCCCACGUCCAUCAGCGGUGUCCCUUCGGAGGUGCUGUGUCCCGAGAACGUGUGGGGUGACAAGAACGAGUUCGCCACCACCCUCAACAAGCUGGGCCACAUGUUCGUGAAGAACUUCGAGCACUUCCACGACGGCGACGCGUUCGUGGGUGCCGACAUGGCCGCCCGCAUCCUCACCGGGGGGCCCAAGCCGCUGCCGGAGGACAACGUCGCCAAGACAGGCUUCAACGCGAUCAAGGACGUCGUGCCCGGUGCCGUGGUCGCGUAAUGCCGUACACGGUGAUCUCGUCCACUGAAGAACGCUGGGAAUACUGAUUUCGUGCAGGUAUCAUUCUAGCAUGUAUAUCCCCAUUGCAUGUGCGGGUUGAAGAAUAAUAAUGGCGGUUCAUAAUCGCAUCACAUCGGCCACAUGUACUUGUGCAUUGUAUGCAUAAGUCCCAUCAGACAUGUUCGGUUCGGUGCACGAUGCAUCUUUUGCGUGACUACACAAGCCGUGAUCUUCAGCUUGCAGUUUUGCGUUUCUUUUUUGUUGUGUCGUGACGAUGGUCAAAAUUAUGAUGCAAUACGUCGUCUAAGCGGCAGUCAGGGUGGCAUUCAUUCUGUGCCGCCGCUGAGCUGCACACGCAUGGAAAUGAAGGGGUGGUAAAGAGUAAUGGGCACAGUUCUGGCGUGCGGUUAUUUCGUGUAGCUUCUUCCUUAAGAAAAUCAUGGAAUUCAGAGUUCAAUUUUGUUGAAAUAAUGGGCGUUUCAGUUUUUUCAACCCGACGAAAUGUCCAGGAAUGCGUUGGGCACGUGCACGAAAUCGCUACAUACCUCAUCACCGAUGCAUUCCUGACGAACCUCUGGGACUUACAACGCUGCUCUAGCGAGCCAUACCGUAAUAAAAUGCACAGUGUAAGCUGUGCUUCCUAACCUGUAAUGAUCCGAGCCACAAAUUCUCUUUCCUCGAUGCUUCACCUCCAGUGAAGCCCAAGGUCCGGCACUGCAGGCACCUCAG